AUCCUGUCUGAAUAUGGGGGGACCAUCCUCCAAGGCUAAAUACUCCUGACUGACCGAUAGUGAACCAGUACCGUGAGGGAAAGGCGAAAAGAACCCCGGCGAGGGGAGUGAAAAAGAACCUGAAACCGUGUACGUACAAGCAGUGGGAGCACGCUUAGGCGUGUGACUGCGUACCUUUUGUAUAAUGGGUCAGCGACUUAUAUUCUGUAGCAAGGUUAACCGAAUAGGGGAGCCGAAGGGAAACCGAGUCUUAACUGGGCGUUAAGUUGCAGGGUAUAGACCCGAAACCCGGUGAUCUAGCCAUGGGCAGGUUGAAGGUUGGGUAACACUAACUGGAGGACCGAACCGACUAAUGUUGAAAAAUUAGCGGAUGACUUGUGGCUGGGGGUGAAAGGCCAAUCAAACCGGGAGAUAGCUGGUUCUCCCCGAAAGCUAUUUAGGUAGCGCCUCGUGAAUUCAUCUCCGGGGGUAGAGCACUGUUUCGGCAAGGGGGUCAUCCCGACUUACCAACCCGAUGCAAACUGCGAAUACCGGAGAAUGUUAUCACGGGAGACACACGGCGGGUGCUAACGUCCGUCGUGAAGAGGGAAACAACCCAGACCGCCAGCUAAGGUCCCAAAGUCAUGGUUAAGUGGGAAACGAUGUGGGAAGGCCCAGACAGCCAGGAUGUUGGCUUAGAAGCAGCCAUCAUUUAAAGAAAGCGUAAUAGCUCACUGGUCGAGUCGGCCUGCGCGGAAGAUGUAACGGGGCUAAACCAUGCACCGAAGCUGCGGCAGCGACGCUGAUGCGUUGUUGGGUAGGGGAGCGUUCUGUAAGCCUGCGAAGGUGUGCUGUGAGGCAUGCUGGAGGUAUCAGAAGUGCGAAUGCUGACAUAAGUAACGAUAAAGCGGGUGAAAAGCCCGCUCGCCGGAAGACCAAGGGUUCCUGUCCAACGUUAAUCGGGGCAGGGUGAGUCGACCCCUAAGGCGAGGCCGAAAGGCGUAGUCGAUGGGAAACAGGUUAAUAUUCCUGUACUUGGUGUUACUGCGAAGGGGGGACGGAGAAGGCUAUGUUGGCCGGGCGACGGUUGUCCCGGUUUAAGCGUGUAGGCUGGUUUUCCAGGCAAAUCCGGAAAAUCAAGGCUGAGGCGUGAUGACGAGGCACUGCGGUGCUGAAGCAACAAAUGCCCUGCUUCCAGGAAAAGCCUCUAAGCAUCAGGUAACAUCAAAUCGUACCCCAAACCGACACAGGUGGUCAGGUAGAGAAUACCAAGGCGCUUGAGAGAACUCGGGUGAAGGAACUAGGCAAAAUGGUGCCGUAACUUCGGGAGAAGGCACGCUGAUAUGUAGGUGAAGUCCCUCGCGGAUGGAGCUGAAAUCAGUCGAAGAUACCAGCUGGCUGCAACUGUUUAUUAAAAACACAGCACUGUGCAAACACGAAAGUGGACGUAUACGGUGUGACGCCUGCCCGGUGCCGGAAGGUUAAUUGAUGGGGUUAGCGCAAGCGAAGCUCUUGAUCGAAGCCCCGGUAAACGGCGGCCGUAACUAUAACGGUCCUAAGGUAGCGAAAUUCCUUGUCGGGUAAGUUCCGACCUGCACGAAUGGCGUAAUGAUGGCCAGGCUGUCUCCACCCGAGACUCAGUGAAAUUGAACUCGCUGUGAAGAUGCAGUGUACCCGCGGCAAGACGGAAAGACCCCGUGAACCUUUACUAUAGCUUGACACUGAACAUUGAGCCUUGAUGUGUAGGAUAGGUGGGAGGCUU
rnacentral:rRNA from 1 species